AGCAGCAGAUGCAACUUCCCGAAAUGGCCCUGAGUUCAACCAGCCCUUUGGGGCGGCGGGGCCGGGGGAGGAGGAAGGUGCGAUUGGUGCGAGCAGGCGGCCCCUGCCGAGCUUAAAGCCUCCAAGUGCAAGUGGGGUGAGCAGAUGAGGAAGUGUCCCUGCACAUGGUGAGCCGAGCCCUGACCAUGCAUACCCACCUGCUCCUCCUGCUCGCCCUGCUCGUCCUCUGCAUGCCCCUUGGCCAGGCUGUGGAGGUCCAGACCAGCUCCUUCACCACUUCAAGCACCCCCUUAAGCAGCCUGAGCCCCCCUUGCAGCAGCCCCCCGCUCCUUUCCCUCGCCCUGGGGCUGGCUGUGGCUUUCUACCUGCGGCUGCGCUGACCUGGAGGGAACCAGCCCUCCUCAAGAAGAUCCCCCCAGGCAUGGCAUCCCCUGCACUGCCCACCUCCUUGGACCCUCGCAGCAAUGGAGGAUACACCAGCCCCAGCCCAUCCUCGCCUCCCUCUGCUCCACUCCCUUCACCCUCCCGCCUCAAAAGAAAGCCGUGGCGCUGCCCCGGCUCCAAAGCAAAGCGCUGGGGCCGGCUCCUGACUCUGAGAAAAUAAAGCGCUGGUGUAGAAGCCUC